ensembl:lncRNA
AUGCCGAGGUUUUUACGCAUUUCAUGCAAUCAACAGAAAUCAAGAUUUCAAAACAAAGAUGUCUGCAACAAACACAAACAUGCUUGGAUAAGUGCAAGUUUUAGUAGGGCUGUCAAUUUAAUGUGUUCAUUUAAUAAAAGGAAUAGUUCACCCAAAAGGAAACAUUUGCUGAAAAUAUACUCACCCUCAGGCCAUCCGAGGUGUAGAUGAAUUUGUUUCUUCAUCAGAUUUGGAGAAAUGUAGCAUUAUAUCACUUGCUCAGCAAUGGAUGCUCUGCAGUGAAUGGGUGCCAUCAGAAUAAGAGUCCAAUCAGCUGAUAAAAACAUCACAAUAAUCCACAAGUAAUCCAUCAAUUCAUUUCUUGUGAAGCAAAAAGAUGUGUGUUUGUAUGUGGGCAUGUUGACUAUAAACAGUCUCUUGUUAUAGUGUUGACUAUUAACAGUCUCAUCCCUUUUCUACACUCAACAAGAUCAACCAACAUAUUUGUUUAGAACUGUUUUGGAUAGUUGUAAAUUAUGCUUGAUCUGUGCAUAUUUCACUCCUGAUUCAAACCAAACAACUAGCAACAUUAUGGAUAGGCGACUCACAUUUAAACUUGGAAGCGACGGUUAAAGUUACUGACUGGCUGUAUAAUAGAUUGCUGAAGGUCAGUGAUAGACUGAUGCUUAAUGAUAUGAACAAUGAAACGAACAAUACAUUGACUUCUGGAGCCACUUAGUCUACUUUAAUGCUUUAGCUGGCGCAAUAAUGUAAUGUAAUGAAUUAAUACAAAUUAAUUGAUUGAAAAAAAGCAUCAAAUGAAUCUAUUGAAAAUAAACCUACCAUCAAAAUUACAGACCCUUCAUUUCUUUACUGUAAGUGGGCAAACUUACAAAAUCAGCAGGGGAUCAAAUAAAUAUUUUCCCUACUGUUAUUAAAUGUUAAAUAUAUUCCAGUAUAUAUUUUGAACAUAAACCUAGUGCGCCAACAGCAGCUUAAUGCUCUCCAAAGAGUUUUGAAGAGAGAGAGAGAGACAGAGCAGAGCAGAGGGAAGCAAGGUUAUUUGCAUGGAGAGGCACGGAUGCCCCCGUUCCCUGUAUCUGAUGUCAGUCUCCCGAUACUGAUAGGCUCUGCAUCUCCCAUUUAAGAGAUAAUGAGAUUGCUCGAGCCACACAAACCUCUGCUGACUGCACUACACCGGUGCUACGGCAGUCACUUCAUCUCUCAGAGAUUCAUCAGGGUUCAGCUAAACAACUCCGCCUGCCCCCAUCUUCCUCCGACCCAGACACUCGAUACGAACGCUCUCGGCUCAUCAAGAGCCUGAGCACCAGUGUAAUGGAGAGAAGUGGGCGAAAACGAAGAGGACGUGUUGCAGCGCAAAUCCUGAUUGGCUGAAAACAGGGCCCGUUUGCAUCGCAGCAUCUUCCUCAGGUGGUAGAAUAUGUGUGAAGCCGUAGAAUAGAAAACUCAUGAAAUGACAUCUCUGUAAUGUCUCAACUGUUUCUCCCAGACAGCAAUGCACUAAUGCAGAGAAAAUCUGAAAAAGGCCUUUUAACCUUACAAUCUGCACCUCACAUUUAAUUUCAGAAGGGGUUUCAACGGGUCAGCUGAGAUAUCAGUCUGCAAACAAGUGUCAAAUUUCAUAAAAAAAAUCAUGCUGCUGGUAAAAAUUCACUUCAUCCAUCACUCUUAGUUUUAUUUAAGCUAUUCUGAAACACUGUGUUUUACCUCAGGAGAAAACGCUUCAAACGAUACAAUUAGUUGUUGACUGAACCAUGUUUUUUUGUUUGUUCAUGACUGAAACAGUAUUUUUUUUAAAUAAAUAUUUUAAGUGAACGAUUCGUUGUCGUUCACUUCCAUACACUGAAAAUUCCCAUAAAUGAUUCAGAAUCGUUAAGAAUGGACGUGAACCAUUUUGUGAAGCCGUUUGACUGAUUCACUGAAAAG